rnacentral:rRNA from 1 species
UUAAUUAUUAAAUAGCCGCAGUACUUUGACUGUGCGAAGGUAGCAUAAUCAUUUGUCUUUUAAUUGAAGGCUUGAAUGAACGGUUGAAUGAGGGACUUUCUUUCUUUAUUCUAUAAUUUUGAAUUUAAUUUCUAGGUUAAAAAGCUUAGAUUAAAAAAAGGGACGAGAAGACCCUGUAGAAUUUUAUUUGACUUGAUUUUGUGAUUUUUUGGUCAUUUAUUUAAUCAAUUUUUAGUCAUAUUUUGUUGGGGCGACAGGGGGAUUUUUUUAACUCCCUUAUAAGAUAUAAUAUUUAUAUGUAUCUGUGGAUGAUCCCUUUAAUUAGGAUUAUUAGAUUAAAUUACCUCAGGGAUAACAGCGUAAUUUCUUUG